rnacentral:lncRNA from 1 species
CUUUCGCGUCUGCGGUGCCCGGAGUGUGGUACUUCUCCUAGUUGCAGUCAGGCUUCAUACGCUAUUGUCCUGCCCGUUAGAGCAGCCAGCGGGUACAGAAUGGAUUUUGGAAGAGGGAGUCACCACUGGACCUCCAAGGAAGCCACGUGCAGACAUCUACAACCUUCGAUCUCCUGACGAGUUUAUUGUUGGCCAAAACCAGGCUUUGAUUGAACCAGGAUGAAUGCGGGUGUUGGAAGUAGAAUAUAUAUAUACAUAUAAAAUUGAAACUGGCGG